rnacentral:rRNA from 1 species
UACGUAGGAGGCAAGCGUUGUCCGGAAUUACUGGGCGUAAAGCGUGCGCAGGCGGUUAUGCAAGACAGAUGUGAAAUCCCCGGGCUCAACCUGGGAACUGCAUUUGUGACUGCAUGGCUAGAGUGCGGCAGAGGGGGAUGGAAUUCCUGGUGUAGCAGUGAAAUGCGUAGAUAUCUGGAGGAACACCGAUGGCGAAAGCGGCCACCUGGACUGCACCUGACGCUGACACGCGAAAGCUAGGGGAGCGAACGGG